rnacentral:rRNA from 1 species
GUGUGCUUGAAAAUCAAUGCAAUAACUCAAAAUCAUAGAAUCGUUUUCAUAGAGGACCACUAAGCACAUGCCUAAAUGAUGGAAUUGAGCGCAAGAAAGCACAAUAAAUACGUUGUAGGGUUUUAAUAAGGGAUUUCUAUUGUGUGGGUUGAGUUUGAUAACA